CAGCAGCCACGGUAAUACGAAGGGUGCAAGCGUUACUCGGAAUUACUGGGCGUAAAGCGUGCGUAGGUGGUUGUUUAAGUCUGCUGUGAAAGCCCUGGGCUCAACCUGGGAAUUGCAGUGGAUACUGGGCAACUAGAGUAAGGUAGAGGAUAGUGGAAUUUCCGGUGUAGCGGUGAAAUGCGUAGAGAUCGGAAGGAACAUCUGUGGCGAAGGCGACUAUCUGGGCCAUUACUGACACUGAGGCACGAAAGCGUGGGGAGCAAACAGGAUUAGAUACCCGUGUAGUCCCUGUCUCUUAUAC
rnacentral:rRNA from 1 species